rnacentral:tRNA from 1 species
GGGGCCGUGGUCUAGCGGCUAGGACGCCGGAUUGUCGAUCCGGGGAUCGCGGGUUCGAGUCCCGUCGGCCCCGCC